GUUCGAGAAAGGGCUGUGCCGAGGACCAUGCUGGGGGACACAUCUGGAGUUGUCUGAGGAGCCAGGACCAAGUCCCUUGCAGCACAAGCACAGUGACAGCAGCAAUGUCAGACUUUCUCCCAGCCUGUGGCUCCUGUGACAGCUGUUUUUAUCCAUGCAGGCCGUGUAUUUGCAGUGUCCUAAUGACACUUAUAAAAUAAAAUUGAUCAGAAUAAUUAUGCUGUUGGGACAGAAGGGAGUGUUGUUCCAGUUUCUGCCUUUGCUACGGGCUCUGUUCUGAUGCUCCUAUGGCAUUUGUGAUGGAAAAUGCACACUGCUGUCCCAAGGAUGAUGAGAUCUGACAGCUGGUAUCCAGAUACAACCAGAGCAGAAGUCUCCAAUCAUUCCAACUCUUUUCCCCAUGGCACAGACUGUAUUUAAGCUUUUGGUGAACUGAUGGUAAGAAUCAAGAUCUUAUUUGUGAACAGACUCUGCUCUGAAAAUGAAAAUAAAGGAUAUGCUGA